rnacentral:ncRNA from 1 species
UAAGGUUUUUAGCUUGAAUUUUCUAUAUAUAUUUUUUUUAUAUGCAAGUUAAAGCAAAAAUUAGAUAAAUUUUUAAAUAGAAUUGUUUUAAAAAGGAGUCGCAGUAUAUAAGUUUACUUAUUAUUUAAGAAAUUAAGAAGAAGAAAUAAAUUUUAGUAUAGACUAAAUUUGUGCCAGCAGUAGCGGUUAAACUAAUUAUGCUAUAGAAAAUGGUUGAUUGUAGAUAAAGUGAGUUAAUGAAUUUAAGAAAAGGUUUAUUAGGUGAAAUUUUAAAUUUUACUAAAUUUUUGUAAAGAUUUUGUUUCUAAAAAAUUUUUUGGUUAAACUAGGAUUAGAUACCCUAUUAUAAAAAAUGUAAAUUUAAGCGUUAAAUUAGUAUUUGUUUAAGUUCAUGAAAAUUAAGAGAGUUGGCGGUAUCUUAGUCUAUUCAGAGGAACCUGUCCUGUAAUUGAUAAUCCACGAUUUUUUUUACUUAUUUUUUUAGUUUGCAUAUCGCCGUAGGUUGAAUAUGUUUAAAGGUAAAGAAUAUUCAAAAUUUAUAGUUAAAAGAAAAUCAGGUCAAGAUGUAGUUUAUAGGUAAGGAGAGAUGGGUUACAUUAAGUUUAUUUAUAAGAUGGAUAUAUUUUUGUAAUAAGAUAUUGAAAAUGGAUUUGAAGGUAAUUUUAUUUAAAUUUUUAAAAUGAUUUUAGCUCUAAGAUAUGUACAUAUCGCCCGUCGCUUUCACUUUAAAGUGGAAUAAGUCGUAACAUAGUAGAAGUACUGGAAAGUGUUUCUGGAAAGACA